CCCCCCCCCCCCCCCCCGGGGCCGGGCUCGCCGCUCUCUCACAGGAGGAGCUGGGGCGAGGCGGGAGCAGGCGAGGAACGGCCCCCGCCCGCGGCGGGAAGGUUGCGGGUUCCCUACCAGAGGAGAUGCCUCGGUCACACCCCGGGACGCACGAGAGGAAACGGCCUCGCGGCGCCAGGCAUCGCCGCCGAUAUUCGCUGCUGGCCGAGGUCAGACAGAGAUGGGCAGUAGUACGAACGGCAAUAUCAGUCAUCCAAUGCUGUAGCAGCACUCCGAUCUGCACGAUUGAAAGGUUUUGAAAAACAUCUCAUCUAGAAAUCAGACCUUUUGCAUAAAGGCUUUCAGAUGACACUGCAUCUUACAGCUAUGUCUUCAGGAAGGACUGCUUCUGCACAGGAAUGAAGAGAGACUGAAACUUCAGCAGCAAAUUGUACUCCGUGCGUUACUUGGACAUAGAUUUGCUGAAACAGAUGGGUUUACUUG